rnacentral:rRNA from 1 species
CGUCAAAUCAUCAUGCCCCUUAUGUCUUGGGCUACACACGUGCUACAAUGGCCGGAACAAAGUGACGCGAAACGGUGACGUUCAGCAAACCACCAAAAACCGGUCUCAGUUCGGAUUGCAGUCUGCAACUCGACUGCAUGAAGUCGGAAUCGCUAGUAAUCGCGAAUCAGCAUGUCGCGGUGAAUACGUUCCCGGGUCUU